CUGGGUUACUUCAGGUUGAUUUAAGAUUUUUCUGCUUCUAAGGAUCAUAAUUGAUUUGGCAUGUUCGAAAAAAAUUUCGAGACUGGUGGAGCUCUCAGCCAUGUACUGUCCUUUUGGAUUAUUGAUGGGCUGAUUUGGUAAUUUACCUUCCUUUCUUCUACUAAAAGCUAUUGCUAAUUAUUCUAUCUGGGUUUCUAGCUUUGUUAUUGAUUGCGUAUG
rnacentral:lncRNA from 1 species